GCAUAUCAAUAAGCGGAGGAAAAGAAACUAACAAGGAUUCCCCUAGUAACUGCGAGUGAAGCGGGAAGAGCUCAAAUUUAAAAUCUGGCGGUCCUUUGGCCGUCCGAGUUGUAUUCURGAGAAGUGCUUUCCGCGCUGGACCGUGUAUAAGUCUCUUGGAACAGAGCGUCAUAGAGGGUGARAAUCCCGUCUUUGACACGGACUACCAGUGCUUUGUGAUGCGCUCUCAAAGAGUCGAGUUGUUUGGGAAUGCAGCUCAAAAUGGGUGGUAAAUUCCAUCUAAAGCUAAAUAUUGGCGAGAGACCGAUAGCGAACAAGUACCGUGAGGGAAAGAUGAAAAGCACUUUGGAAAGAGAGUUAAACAGUACGUGAAAUUGUUGAAAGGGAAACGCUUGAAGUCAGUCGCGUUAGCCGGAACUCAGCCUUGCCUUCCGCUUGGUGUAUUUUCCGGUUGACGGGCCAGCAUCGAUUUUGACCGCUGGAUAAGGGCUAGGGGAAUGUGGCACCUUCGGGUGUGUUAUAGUCUCUGGUCGUAUACAGUGGUCGGGAUCGAGGACCGCAGCCUUCGGGUUUAGGAUGCUGGCGUAAUGGCUUUAAACGACCCGUCUUGAAACACGGACC
rnacentral:rRNA from 1 species